ACAGAUGUGGCUCAGUGGUUUAGAGCACUGGCUGCUCCUGUGGAGGGUGUGGGUUCAAUUCCCAGCACCCGUC
rnacentral:tRNA from 1 species